UACGUAGGGGGCAAGCGUUGUCCGGAAUUAUUGGGCGUAAAGAGCUCGUAGGCGGUUUGUCGCGUCUGCCGUGAAAGUCCGGGGCUCAACUCCGGAUCUGCGGUGGGUACGGGCAGACUAGAGUGAUGUAGGGGAGACUGGAAUUCCUGGUGUAGCGGUGAAAUGCGCAGAUAUCAGGAGGAACACCGAUGGCGAAGGCAGGACUCUGGGCAUUAACUACGUGAGGAGCGAAAGCAUGGGGAGCGAACAGG
rnacentral:rRNA from 1 species